rnacentral:rRNA from 1 species
AUUGAACGCUGGCGGCAGGCCUAACACAUGCAAGUCGAGCGGAUGAAGGGAGCUUGCUCCUGGAUUCAGCGGCGGACGGGUGAGUAAUGCCUAGGAAUCUGCCUGGUAGUGGGGGAUAACGUCCGGAAACGGGCGCUAAUACCACAUACGUCCUGAGGGAGAAAGUGGGGGAUCUUCGGACCUCACGCUAUCAGAUGAGCCUAGGUCGGAUUAGCUAGUUGGUGGGGUAAAGGCCUACCAAGGCGACGAUCCGUAACUGGUCUGAGAGGAUGAUCAGUCACACUGGAACUGAGACACGGUCCAGACUCCUACGGGAGGCAGCAGUGGGGAAUAUCGGACAAUGGGCGAAAGCCUGAUCCAGCCAUGCCGCGUGUGUGAAGAAGGUCUUCGGAUUGUAAAGCACUUUAAGUUGGGAGGAAGGGCAGUAAGUUAAUACCUUGCUGUUUUGACGUUACCAACAGAAUAAGCACCGGCUAACUUCGUG